UCCGUAGGGUGCAAGCGUUGUCCGGAAUUAUUGGGCGUAAAGAGCUCGUAGGCGGUUUGUCGCGUCGAAUGUGAAAACCCGGGGCUCAACCCCGGGCCUGCAUUCGAUACGGGCAGACUAGAGUUCGGUAGGGGAGUCUGGAAUUCCUGGUGUAGCGGUGAAAUGCGCAGAUAUCAGGAGGAACACCGGUGGCGAAGGCGGGACUCUGGGCCGAUACUGACGCUGAGGCGCGAAAGCGUGGGGAGCGAACAGG
rnacentral:rRNA from 1 species